UGGGGAAUUUUGGACAAUGGGCGAAAGCCUGAUCCAGCAAUGCCGCGUGUGUGAAGAAGGCCUUCGGGUUGUAAAGCACUUUUGUCCGGAAAGAAAUCCUUGGCUCUAAUACAGUCGGGGGAUGACGGUACCGGAAGAAUAAGCACCGGCUAACUACGUGCCAGCAGCCGCGGUAAUACGUAGGGUGCAAGCGUUAAUCGGAAUUACUGGGCGUAAAGCGUGCGCAGGCGGUUUGCUAAGACCGAUGUGAAAUCCCCGGGCUCAACCUGGGAACUGCAUUGGUGACUGGCAGGCUAGAGUAUGGCAGAGGGGGGUAGAAUUCCACGUGUAGCAGUGAAAUGCGUAGAGAUGUGGAGGAAUACCGAUGGCGAAGGCAGCCCCCUGGGCCAAUACUGACGCUCAUGCACGAAAGCGUGGGGAGCAAACAGGAUUAGAUACCCUGGUAGUCCACGCCUAAACGAUGUCAACUAGUUGUUGGGGAUUCAUUUCCUUAGUAACGUAGCUAACGCGUGAAGUUGACCGCCUGGGGAGUACGGUCGCAAGAUUAAAACUCAAAGGAAUUGACGGGGU
rnacentral:rRNA from 1 species